rnacentral:misc_RNA from 1 species
AAGUCGUAACAAGUUUACGUGAGGGUGAAUCCGUGCUGGAAGGAAUCAUUAAAGAGAUAGGGUCAUUCAAUGGCCCCGGAAGCCGUCCAAUGCCCCUCUUGGUUAGUUAAUAAUCUACCCAUUGAUUGGCUUUGGGCGGGACCGUCUCGGCUAGCCUCCGAGCGGCACUAACCCUCGGGUUGGUGAGCGCCCGCCAGAGUCCAACCAAACUCUUGUAUUAAACCAGUCGUCUGAGUAUAAAAAUUUUAAUUAAAUAAAA